rnacentral:rRNA from 1 species
GAUGAACGCUGGCGGCGUGCCUAAUACACGCAAGUCGAGCGAACAGACGAGGAGCUUGCUCCUUCGACGUUAGCGGCGGACGGGUGAGUAACACGUAGGUAACCUACCUAUAAGACUGGGAUAACCUCGGGAAACCGGAGCUAAUACCGGAUAAUAUUUCGAACCGCAUGGUUCGAUAGUGAAAGAUGGCUUUGCUAUCACUUAUAGAUGGACCUGCGCCGUAUUAGCUAGUUGGUAAGGUAACGGCUUACCAAGGCAACGAUACGUAGCCGACCUGAGAGGGUGAUCGGCCACACUGGAACUGAGACACGGUCCAGACUCCUACGGGAGGCAGCAGUAGGGAAUCUUCCGCAAUGGGCGAAAGCCUGACGGAGCAACGCCGCGUGAGUGAUGAAGGUCUUCGGAUCGUAAAACUCUGUUAUUAGGGAAGAACAAACGUGUAAGUAACUGUGCACGUCUUGACGGUACCUAAUCAGAAAGCCACGGCUAACUACGUG